rnacentral:rRNA from 1 species
UACAGAGGUCCCAAGCGUUGUUCGGAUUCAUUGGGCGUAAAGGGCGCGUAGGUGGCCUUCUAAGUUGAACGUGAAAUCCCUGGGCUCAACCCAGGAACUGCGUCCAAGACUGGGAGGCUUGAAUCCGGGAGAGGGAUGCGGAAUUCCAGGUGUAGCGGUGAAAUGCGUAGAUAUCUGGAGGAACACCGGUGGCGAAGGCGGCAUCCUGGACCGGUAUUGACACUGAGGCGCGAAAGCCAGGGGAGCAAACGGG